GACGAACGCUGGCGGCGUGCUUAACACAUGCAAGUCGAGCGGUAAGGCCCUUUCGGGGUACGACGAGCGGCGAACGGGUGAGUAACACGUGGGUGACCUGCCCUCAGCUCUGGGAUAAGCCUCGGGAAACCGGGGUACUAAUACCGGAUAUGACUCCAUGACGCAUGUUGUGGGGUGGAAAGCCUUGUGCGGCUGAGGAUGGGCCCGC
rnacentral:rRNA from 1 species